CACGUAGGGGGCAAGCGUUGUCCGGAAUCAUUGGGCGUAAAGAGCUCGUAGGCGGCUCGGUAAGUCGGGUGUGAAACCCCCAGGCUCAACCUGGGGACGCCACCCGAUACUGCUGUGGCUAGAGUCCAGUAGGGGAGUGUGGAAUUCCCGGUGUAGCGGUGAAAUGCGCAGAUAUCGGGAGGAACACCAGCGGCGAAGGCGGCACUCUGGGCUGGAACUGACGCUGAGGAGCGAAAGCGUGGGUAGCAAACAGGG
rnacentral:rRNA from 1 species